CAUCCAUGGAACUAUUAUGAGUUUUCAUGGUGUUCUUCAUUGUUCUUGGUGUUCUUGCCAAGAACAUAAAGUUUUGAAGUUUUGAUUCAAAAAUUUUAUGUUUUUCAUAAAGUUUUGGUAUAUUAUUGAUUUAUUAUUUGAUGGGUGAUGUUAUUGGUGAGAUGUGAUGAAAUGUUUUAUUGUUUUGUCAUAAACUUUAAGUCUUUCUUACAAACCAUCACCUUCACCUUUAACCUCACCUAAUAAAAUCAACUUGCAAAAAUUUUUUAGAAAUUUUUUCAAUUUUUCAUUAAAUGGCCGGCCACCCCUAGUGGGGGUCCUUUUGGGGCCUUUUGUGCAAUUAACAUAAAGUUUUGAUACUUUUGUGUUUUUUGCAUUUUGGCCCAAAAGUUUACGUUUUUACGUUUAGGCCCUAAAACUCUAAAGGACAAAUUGUUUUGAUCCUUUAAUGAUGUUUUUACAUUAUUAAAAUUUUGGGAUCUAGUUGUAUUUACAUGAAGUUGUGGACUAUUGUGUUUAUACAAAGUGACCCCAAAAGUUUUUUGUAUUUGCAUUAUGGCCCAAUUGUUGUGGUCAUAGUUUCCUUUUGGCCCAAAUAAAAUGAGAACAAAAU
rnacentral:lncRNA from 1 species